rnacentral:rRNA from 1 species
AGCUUACUUCGGCUGCCGACCGGUUCUGUGGCGUCGCGUGCCGCACUCUGGCAGAGGGCGGGCCUGGGCGCGUGGAUGUGGCCUGUGACGCUCGUCAGAGAGCCGCGCCUCCGACUUGCCUGUCUUCGCGAGGCCGGGGCGGGCUUCGGCCCCGGACGUGACGGCCCCACUUUGCUCGGUGGUGAGAGGAGCCACCUGGGCGCUGGAAGGCUUGCCAGCCGAUAUUCGAGCGGAGGCUGUGCUCCCGGCCGACGUGGUGGAUGGGCUGGCAGGAGGAGCGGCGCCUGUGGUGGCAAGAACCGGCCGGGGUUGGCGGCCCUGACGUCCCCGUUCCUCUGGGCGAGAGCUUGGCUGCUGGGGCGUUUCCACUGCGAGCCGCGCUCGCCCUGACGGCGCUGGGGGACUUGGGCUGCCACCGGCCAAGCCGACGUACGCA